UGGGGAAUAUUGGACAAUGGGGGCAACCCUGAUCCAGCCAUGCCGCGUGUGUGAAGAAGGCCUUUUGGUUGUAAAGCACUUUAAGCAGGGAGGAGAGGCUAAUGGUUAAUACCCAUUAGAUUAGACGUUACCUGCAGAAUAAGCACCGGCUAACUCUGUGCCAGCAGCCGCGGUAAUACAGAGGGUGCGAGCGUUAAUCGGAAUUACUGGGCGUAAAGCGAGUGUAGGUGGCUCAUUAAGUCACAUGUGAAAUCCCCGGGCUUAACCUGGGAACUGCAUGUGAUACUGGUGGUGCUAGAAUAUGUGAGAGGGAAGUAGAAUUCCAGGUGUAGCGGUGAAAUGCGUAGAGAUCUGGAGGAAUACCGAUGGCGAAGGCAGCUUCCUGGCAUAAUAUUGACACUGAGAUUCGAAAGCGUGGGUAGCAAACAGGAUUAGAUACCCUGGUAGUCCACGCCGUAAAACGAUGUCUACUAGCCGUUGGGGUCCUUGAGACUUUAGUGGCGCAGUUAACGCGAUAAGUAGACCGCCU
rnacentral:rRNA from 1 species